rnacentral:rRNA from 1 species
AUUGAACGCUGGCGGCAGGCCUAACACAUGCAAGUCGAGCGGAUGAAGGGAGCUUGCUCCUGGAUUCAGCGGCGGACGGGUGAGUAAUGCCUAGGAAUCUGCCUGGUAGUGGGGGAUAACGUCCGGAAACGGGCGCUAAUACCGCAUACGUCCUGAGGGAGAAAGUGGGGGAUCUUCGGACCUCACGCUAUCAGAUGAGCCUAGGUCGGAUUAGCUAGUUGGUGGGGUAAAGGCCUACCAAGGCGACGAUCCGUAACUGGUCUGAGAGGAUGAUCAGUCACACUGGAACUGAGACACGGUCCAGACUCCUACGGGAGGCAGCAGUGGGGAAUAUUGGACAAUGGGCGAAAUCCUGAUCCAGCCCUGCCGCGUGUGUGAAGAAGGUCUUCGGAUUGUAAAGCACUUUAAGUUGGGAGGAAGGGCAGUAAGUUAAUACCUUGCUGUUUUGACGUUACCAACAGAAUAAGCACCGGCUAACUUCGUG